rnacentral:rRNA from 1 species
GCAUAUCAAUAAGCGGAGGAAAAGAAACCAACAGGGAUUGCCCCCAGUAACGGCGAGUGAAGCGGCAACAGCUCAAAUUUGAAAUCUGGCCCUUGGGUCCGAGUUGUAAUUUGUAGAGGAUGCUUUUGGCGAGGUGCCUUCCGAGUUCCCUGGAACGGGACGCCAUAGAGGGUGAGAGCCCCGUCUGGUCGGACACCGAGCCUCUGUAAAGCUCCUUCGACGAGUCGAGUAGUUUGGGAAUGCUGCUCAAAAUGGGAGGUAUAUGUCUUCUAAAGCUAAAUAUUGGCCAGAGACCGAUAGCGCACAAGUAGAGUGAUCGAAAGAUGAAAAGCACUUUGAAAAGAGGGUUAAAAAGUACGUGAAAUUGUUGAAAGGGAAGCGCCUAUGACCAGACUUGGGCCCGGUGAAUCAUCCAGCGUUCUCGCUGGUGCACUUUGCCGGGCACAGGCCAGCAUCAGUUUGGCGCGGGGGAAAAAGGCUUUGGGAAUGUGGCUCCCUCGGGAGUGUUAUAGCCCAUUGUGUAAUACCCUGCGCCGGACUGAGGUACGCGCAUUGCAAGGAUGCUGGCGUAAUGGUCAUCAGCGACCCGUCUUGAAACACGGACCAAGGAGUCGUCUUCGUAUGCGAGUGUUCGGGUGUCAAACCCCUACGCGUAAUGAAAGUGAACGCAGGUGAGAGCUUCGGCGCAUCAUCGACCGAUCCUGAUGUUCUCGGAUGGAUUUGAGUAAGAGCAUACGGGGCCGGACCCGAAAGAAGGUGAACUAUGCCUGUAUAGGGUGAAGCCAGAGGAAACUCUGGUGGAGGCUCGCAGCGGUUCUGACGUGCGAAUCGAUCGUCAAAUAUGGGCAUGGGGGGCGAAAGACUAAUCGAACCUUCUAGUAGCUGGUUUCCGCCGA